UUUUUUNNNNNGCUCNNGAUGAACGCUGGCGGCGUGCCUAAUACAUGCAAGUCGAACGCUUUGUGGUUCAACUGAUUUGAAGAGCUUGCUCAGAUAUGACGAUGGACAUUGCAAAGAGUGGCGAACGGGUGAGUAACACGUGGGAAACCUACCUCUUAGCAGGGGAUAACAUUUGGAAACAGAUGCUAAUACCGUAUAACAAUGACAACCGCAUGGUUGUUAUUUAAAAGAUGGUUCUGCUAUCACUAAGAGAUGGUCCCGCGGUGCAUUAGCUAGUUGGUAAGGUAAUGGCUUACCAAGGCGAUGAUGCAUAGCCGAGUUGAGAGACUGAUCGGCCACAAUGGGACUGAGACACGGCCCAUACUCCUACGGGAGGCAGCAGUAGGGAAUCUUCCACAAUGGGCGAAAGCCUGAUGGAGCAACGCCGCGUGUGUGAUGAAGGGUUUCGGCUCGUAAAACACUGUUGUAAGAGAAGAAUGACAUUGAGAGUAACUGUUCAAUGUGUGACGGUAUCUUACCAGAAAGGAACGGCUAAAUACGUGCCAGCAGCCGCGGUAAUACGUAUGUUCCAAGCGUUAUCCGGAUUUAUUGGGCGUAAAGCGAGCGCAGACGGUUAUUUAAGUCUGAAGUGAAAGCCCUCAGCUCAACUGAGGAAUUGCUUUGGAAACUGGAUGACUUGAGUGCAGUAGAGGAAAGUGGAACUCCAUGUGUAGCGGUGAAAUGCGUAGAUAUAUGGAAGAACACCAGUGGCGAAGGCGGCUUUCUGGACUGUAACUGACGNGNG
rnacentral:rRNA from 1 species